rnacentral:rRNA from 1 species
GAUGAACGCUGGCGGCGUGCCUAAUACAUGCAAGUCGAGCGAACAGACGAGGAGCUUGCUUCUCUGACGUUAGCGGCGGACGGGUGAGUACCACGUGGCUACCCUACCUAUAAGACUGAGAUCACGUCGGGAAACCUGAGCUAAUACAGGUUAUUAUAUUGAACCUCAUGGUUCAAUAGUGAACGACGGUUUUGCUGUCACUUAUAGAUGGUUCCGCGCCGCAUUAGUUAGUUGGUAAGGUAACGGCUUACCAAGGCAACGAUGCGUAGCCGACCUGAGAGGGUGAUCGGACACACUGGAACUGAGACACGGUCCAGACUCCUACGGGAGGCAGCAGUAGGGAAUCUUCCACAAUGGGCGAAAGCCUGACGGAGCAACGCCGCGUGAGUGAUGAAGGUCUUCGGAUCGUAAAGCUCUGUUAUUAGGGAAGAACAAAUGUGUAAGUAACUAUGCACGUCUUGACGGUACCUAAACAGAAAGCCACGGCUAACUACGUG